GGGGCGCGCACGGGCGGAGCGCGCAGAGCGCGGCGCGGCGGCCACAGGUGCCGUUCCUGGGCGCUGAGAGCGCGGCCCCGCCACGGGCUGGGCUGGGCUGGCACUUCACGGCGAUCCCGUCCCCGGAGGAGCUGUGAAGAGCACGGGGCUGCCGUGAUGGACGGGAGUCACAGCUGGGAACGAUUCGGUUUUGUAUUUUGAUGUGCAAUAAAAGAUGAAAUGAUUAAAA